rnacentral:rRNA from 1 species
UACAGAGGGGGCAAGCGUUGUUCGGAAUUACUGGGCGUAAAGGGCGCGUAGGCGGCCUGUUAAGUCGAACGUGAAAUCCCCGGGCUCAACCCGGGAACUGCGUCCGAUACUGGCAGGCUUGAAUCCGGGAGAGGGAUGCGGAAUUCCAGGUGUAGCGGUGAAAUGCGUAGAUAUCUGGAGGAACACCGGUGGCGAAGGCGGCAUCCUGGACCGACACUGACGCUGAGGAGCGAAAGCGUGGGGAGCGAACAGG